rnacentral:rRNA from 1 species
UACGAAGGGGGCUAGCGUUGUUCGGAAUUACUGGGCGUAAAGCGCGCGCAGGCGGUCUUCCAAGUCAGUGGUGAAAGCCCGGAGCUCAACUCCGGAACUGCCAUUGAAACUGUUAGACUUGAGGAUGAGAGAGGUGAGUGGAAUUCCCAGUGUAGAGGUGAAAUUCGUAGAUAUUCGCAAGAACACCAGUGGCGAAGGCGGCUUACUGGUCCGGUUCUGACGCUGAGGCGCGAAAGCGUGGGGAGCAAACGGG